rnacentral:tRNA from 1 species
GCUAUGUAGUUCAGUUGGUUAGAAUGCCAGCCUGUCACGCUGGAGGUCGCUGGUUCAACCCCCGCCAUA